rnacentral:rRNA from 1 species
GAUGAACGCUGGCGGCGUGCCUAAUACAUGCAAGUCGAGCGAACAGACGAGGAGCUUGCUCCUCUGACGUUAGCGGCGGACGGGUGAGUAACACAUGGAUAACCUACCUAUAAGACUGGGAUAACUUCGGGAAACCGGAGCUAAUACCGGAUAAUAUAUUGAACCGCAUGGUUCAAUAGUGAAAGACGGUUUUGCUGUCACUUAUAGAUGGAUCCGCGCCGCAUUAGCUAGUUGGUAAGGUAACGGCUUACCAAGGCAACGAUGCGUAGCCGACCUGAGAGGGUGAUCGGCCUCACUGGAACUGAGACACGGUCCAGACUCCUACGGGAGGCAGCAGUAGGGAAUCUUCCGCAAUGGGCGAAAGCCUGACGGAGCAACGCCGCGUGAGUGAUGAAGGUCUUCGGAUCGUAAAACUCUGUUAUUAGGGAAGAACAAAUGUGUAAGUAACUAUGCACGUCUUGACGGUACCUAAUCAGAAAGCCACGGCUAACUACGUG